UACGUAGGGUGCAAGCGUUGUCCGGAAUUAUUGGGCGUAAAGAGCUCGUAGGCGGUCUGUCGCGUCGGCUGUGAAAACCCGAGGCCCAACCUCGGGCCUGCAGUCGAUACGGGCAAACUAGAGUACUGCAGGGGAGACUGGAAUUCCUGGUGUAGCGGUGAAAUGCGCAGAUAUCAGGAGGAACACCGGUGGCGAAGGCGGGUCUCUGGGCAGUAACUGACGCUGAGGAGCGAAAGCGUGGGGAGCGAACAGG
rnacentral:rRNA from 1 species